rnacentral:rRNA from 1 species
AGUGAACGCUGGCGGUAGGCCUAACACAUGCAAGUCGAACGGCAGCACAGUAAGAGCUUGCUCUUACGGGUGGCGAGUGGCGGACGGGUGAGGAAUACAUCGGAAUCUACUUUUUCGUGGGGGAUAACGUAGGGAAACUUACGCUAAUACCGCAUACGACCUACGGGUGAAAGCAGGGGAUCUUCGGACCUUGCGCGAUUGAAUGAGCCGAUGUCGGAUUAGCUAGUUGGCGGGGUAAAGGCCCACCAAGGCGCCGAUCCGUAGCUGGUCUGAGAGGAUGAUCAGCCACACUGGAACGGAGACACGGUCCAGACUCCUACGGGAGGCAGCAGUGGGGAAUAUUGGACAAUGGGCGCAAGCCUGAUCCAGCCAUACCGCGUGGGUGAAGAAGGCCUUCGGGUUGUAAAGCCCUUUUGUUGGGAAAGAAAAGCAGCAGGUUAAUACCCCGCUGUUCUGACGGUACCCAAAGAAUAAGCACCGGCUAACUUCGUG